GUGUGGAAGCGCGGUAACGCGUGAAGCUAACGAGUACUAAUCGCUCCAUUGGCUUGAAUAUACACAGA
rnacentral:rRNA from 1 species